AGAGAAAACAGGGGCACGGGAGAGAAAACAGGGGCACGGGAGAGAAAACAGGGGCACGGGAGAGAAAACAGGGGCACGGGAGAGAAAACAGGGGCACGGUAGGCAUCUCUCUCAUUUCACACCGUCUCCUUAACGACGGACAUGUUUCAGUACGAUACAGUUAAUUUCAAACCGUUGACAGAAGCGCUGCGUCGUGGUCCUGAACACAGCCUACCAUCAUCAUCAUCAUCCUCAUCAUCAUCAUGGCACUAAAACCAGAGCAGCAGAGUCGUGGUCCUGAACACAGCCGAGUCGUAGCAAGCAAAGCCCAGGGAUCACCGUCCGUUCUUAAAAACACUGACGUCGCCUUUUCGCAACGUAAACAAGAGUUUCUAUUUGACAACACUUCAGGCAGGUCCCGUUCCAGAUGCUUCCGGUUGGUUCCUAGUGAAUCCAUCCUUGUUCCACUGCGGUCCAGUCCUCCACCGGGUCAGUAACGGUCCAGUCCCCCCCGGGGUCGGUAACGGUCCAGUCCUCCACCGGGUCAGUAACGGUCCAGUCAAUAACGGUCCAGUCCUCCACCGGGUCAGUAACGGUCCAGUCAAUAACGGUCCAGUCCUCCACCGGGUCAGUAACGGUCCAGUCAAUAACGGUCCAGUCCCCCCCGGGGUCGGUAACGGUCCAGUCCCCCCCGGGUCAGUAACGGUCCAGUCCCCCCCGGGUCAGUAACGGUGCAGUCUCCCCCGGGUCAGUAACGGUCCAGUCUCCCCCGGGUCAGUAACGGUCCAGUCUCCCCCGGGUCAGUAACGGGUCAGUAAUGGCACUUCUCAGGGUUGGUCCAACAGCCUGGGUCUGAAUCUUAACAGCUGUUAGCCUGCUGAACUGAAGCCAAGGCAUUAACUUGGGGGAGCUAACAAGUCUUCAGUAAACAGUCCUGGAAUUAUCCCAAAGCAGGAGAGGGGCUGGUGUAGUCAGUGGGCAGAGCUAAGGUACGGCAGCUCCACCCAUAAUGCACUGGGCUAAGGUCACAGAGGUCGUGACCACUUCUGACCCUGCCCACAUCAGGGGUUAAAGUUCAUAUAGCAGAGAUAUUUUUAAAAAAAACAGUCAUGAUCCUGAAGGAUGAUGAAACACAAUCAGAGUGUGUGUGUGUGUGUGUGUGUGUGUGUGUGGGGGUCAGAGUUCAUAUGGUCCGUUUGACACAGGGUCGUCCACUGAGGUGGGAACAUAUGGCUGCUCAACCUCUCAACCAAUCAGCAUCCUCUAACAUGUCCACACCUAGACACAGAAAGAGAGAGAGAGGAGGAGAGACAAGCGAGACACAAGAAAGAGAGAGCGAAAGACAGAGAGAGAGAAAACACAGUGAGGGAUAUUGGAAUGGAUUGACUGACUGACUAACCCUUCCACUACAAUUUUCACGGCCCCAAAAAUCCAGAGUGGCGUCGCAGUGUUAGAGGCGUCACAACCGGCCGUGAUAGGGCGGCGCACAAUUGGCCCAGCGUCGUCCGGGUUGGGGGGGGGCACCUGCAGGCUGACCAGUUAAACGGUGUUUCCGCCGACACAGCAACCUUCCCACUAGCCAUGAUUGGCUGAGAUAAUGAGUGGGCUGGACAUGCCGAGAGAGUAGUAGUUCGGAUUGGUCCUGCCAUAUAGAAGGCUUCUCUAUCUAUUCGAGCUCGUCAGUCUGUCUUGGUAAUGUAGUAGAGCUGCAUAAGUGUUGCUCUCCACUUUCUGGAGGAUCAAGUUUUGAAAAAUCUGUGGAAAUUAGAGUCUGAUAGCUAAGGAGAUGGAGGAAACACCUGUCUCCGGGAUUACAUCUUCAAAACUAAGGGCAACCGUGGCGUGGCAUCCGUGACAGGGAGAGGCGUCCAUCAUGGAUCAUGGAUGUAUACGGGUAAGAUAGCUUGUUACAUUUUCAGAUAUUACACGUUUUCUAAUUUUGACAGAAUGGGGUUUUCAUUUCAAGCUAAAGUGCACCGUUAGCUAGCUAGCUACGGGUCUGAAGCUAAAGUGCACUGUUAGCUAGCUAGCUAACGUUAGCCGGCUGGCUCAUUAGCUAACGUUAGCCGGCUGGCUCAUUAGCUAACGUUAGCCGGCUGGCUCAUUAGCUAACGUUAGCCGGCUGGCUCAUUAGCUAACGUUAGCCGGCUGGCUCAUUAGCUAACGUUAGCAGGCUGGCUCAUUAGCUAACGUUAGCAGGCUGGCUCAUUAGCUAACGUUAGCAGGCUGGCUCAGCUCAUUAGCUAACGUUAGCAGGCUGGCUCAUUAGCUAACGUUAGCCGGCUGGCUCAUUAGCUAACGUUAGCCGGCUGGCUCAUUAGCUAACGUUAGCCGGCUGGCUCAUUAGCUAACGUUAGCCGGCUAGCUCAUUAGCUAACGUUAGCCGGCUAGCUCAUUAGCUAACGUUAGCCGGCUAGCUCAUUAGCUAACGUUAGGUGACAUUUGUGAUCUUAAACACUGUUUACCUAGCUAACUAGCAUGUCUUAAGCUAAAGUCUUAAGCUAAAGUUGGAUAUGGCCGGUGUCAGUAAAAGUCAGCCAAAAAAAGCAUAAUGAAAUUGUUUCCAGCAGAGCUGUUAAGGCUGUUUUCAUGUUAUCCAGAGGUAAACAAAUCAAAUCGGCCAGAGCGUCAAGCGUGCGCUCCGAGAUGGGUGGGGCUAAAGCUUUAGAGGGUGUGAACGAUGCUGAAUGGGUUGUAGACAAAGAAGAGCUCUCCAGUCGGGACCAAAACAUUCAGAAAGGACAUUUUCUCAAAAGUGAGUUCUACAAAGUUUAUCAUCAACUUUCAAAGCAGAAUUACUUUCCCAUUGUUCCUCAAAACUGCAGUGUGUGAUAUACCAUUUUGUAGCUCUGAGUCUCUACUUUGAUCCAGUGUAAAAAAAACAAUAAUAAAAAAAUUCAAAUUUUGCAACAUAAGACCAAAUCCAGGUGGUUAGUCACAUAUGGAGACUGUUCAGCGCCAAAAAUAAAGGGUUAAAAUAUAUAGAUUUAAAAAUAAAAAUAUAUAUUCCUGAU
rnacentral:lncRNA from 1 species